CUGGUGCUAAAGGCCUUGUCAGCAAAGACAGAAACAGAAAACAUUGCAGGAUAGAGCAAUGGCCAUAGCAACAACAUCACAUUAAUCAGGGUUUGUAGUCUACGCAAAGACAAACUUCCCAAACCAACAAACUGUACACCAACACCAAAAGACACGAACAAGUUCCCUUUCUGUCCAGAAACUAGAAACCCCAAGGUAUUUGCUCUUAGACCUCCCUUCUCCAGGGACAGUCCUUCAGCAGAGGGAUACUCCAGGCUUUGCAUCAUGGGCUGUACCCAGAGACCAAAUAGGGAUGAUGUAGCUGUGGAAGGCUGAAGGUUAGCAGGCAGCUGGGGUGUCAAUCUGAAGGCCAGCUUGCCUCUCCAGAAGUGGACUUUGGAUGUGUGCAGACAUGGACUCCACUAUGCGAGGAAACUGAUUAUUUGGCCCAGCCCAGGAAUAUGAAAAUUCAGUGGGCAAGAAGGAAUUUUGUUAAUAAACAAUGAGAAGUAUUUCAUUUGGCAUCAGCAAGCAGAACACUGGAGAAGCAGCCAUUUUGCUGAAAUAUGAUUACAACCUCACUGAAAUCAUAGAGAUAUGGCUGAAUCACUCGUAUGACUGGAAUGCUGACAGAAAAGGAUGCUGCUUGUUCAAGAAGAAUGGACAGCAAAGAGAUAAGAGGCAUCACUUUGUGAGCAUUGUAUGUAUAAGCUUGUUCUGACAGAUGGAGUUAGCCUUGCUGAAGGUAUGUAAAGGUGGAAAUAGGACACCAUUGUCAGAGUUUACUGGAGUCUGUUAAAGGCCAUCCAUUUAUGAAGAUAAUAUGUAUAAGGUUCUUUGAGAAUAACUAUUAGAGACAUCUGAA